rnacentral:piRNA from 1 species
UUGGUGUACCUAGAGAGGAAAUGUAAGUU